rnacentral:rRNA from 1 species
GACGAACGCUGGCGGCGUGCUUAACACAUGCAAGUCGAACGGAGUGGCGAACGGUUGAGUAACACGUGGGUGACCUGCCCUGCACUUCGGCAUACGGCUGGAAAACUGGGUCUAAUACCGGCUAGUGUUGGGUGGGCCCGCGGCCUGUCAGCUUGUUGGUGGGGUAAUGGCCUACCAAGGGGGCGACGGGCAGCCGGCCUGAGAGGGUGGACGGCCACAAUGGUACUGAGAAGCGGGCCAGAGACAUACGUUGGGCAGCAGGGGGGAAUAUUGCACAAGGGGCGGAAGCAAGAAGCAGGGACGCCGGGUGGGGGAGGACGGCUUUAGAGUUGUAAACAACGUGCACCAUCGACGCGGUAGAUGGCCAGGAAGCGCCGGCUAACUACGUGCCAGCAGCCGCGGUAAUAC